rnacentral:lncRNA from 1 species
UGUCGUUGUCGUCCUCCAGGACGCCGUUAUUGAAGUCUUCAAGGCAGCACAAAAUGUUCUUCACUUGUAAAUCAAACAUCAUGUCGUCGCGCGAUCGACGGGCGGGGCGCGGGAGGACAGCAACUGGCGCCGCUGAGAGGUAGCAGUCGACGGCAGCGUCCCAUGCCGUUAAGGGGGCGCGCAUGGGCACAUGCGCGGCGGGUGCAGCCAAACGCACGGGGACCACGCCGCGGUGGGUGGAGGGGCAACCACGGGCGCGGCGGGUGCAGCCAAACGCAUGGGGUCCGGCGCCACGGUGGUUGGAGGGGCGCACACAGGCAUGGGCGCUGGCGCUAGCAUGUACAUGAGCUCGCGCGGGUCCACGGAGACCUCGCUGACGCCCGCGGCUUCUAGCUCUGCGAUAGUGCUCGGCGACCAGCCCGUCAAUACUACGGGGAUGGUCGCUGGCGCGGGCUCGGGGAUGGGAGCUGGGACGGGAGAGGGGGCAGCAACCGUCGCGGUCAGCUCGUUCUAGGCCAUGUCCAUGAGGCCCCAUUCCUCCUUAUUUUCUAUAUCCUCUGGCUCAAUAUCAACUUCACCAAACUUGAAGACUAGUGGUAGAUGAUCAUUCUGCGCCAUGCCGGUGGAGGUCUGCGGGGGGAGGGGAAUGGGAGGCGAACAGUAAGGCCGCCCGUAUUAAACAGCGGCUCGGGCGCCAUUAAUGGAGAGGAAGGCGGGCGGCCAUGGAAGUCAAAGGGCUCGCUUCCCGAUGAGCCUGCGCAGCAUACAGCUCACACGCUUCCCGGUGAGCCUACGCAUUGGAGGACAGAUUGCACGCCUCUCGGUUAGCCUGUGCACCGGACUGCGCUCGCACGCCUCCUGUUCAGUCAAGGUCAAGUAGCUGUCCGCACGGCACCUCCUACAGCCAUUAAAACCAAGACAUGUGGUGUCACGUGAAUGGUUAACAGAAUGCACAUGAUUUUAAUUAUACAAAUGUUUGUGAUAUUAAAGUGGCAGCUACUUUUUCAAAAUGCCUUUGUUGGCUGUCAUUAUUCGAGUGCGCCUUCUCUCAAAAUGGACACAAAAAAUACCACAUCAUGUCGGGUGCCAUUCCAUGAUAGCAUGCCAAGUUUCAUGAAGUUCAGACGAGUUUUGGAUUUACUAGAAUUUAAAAACCAGGCAUCUCAAUGUUUUGUCGCCAAUCAACGGUGCCCUCGUGUUUGAAAUUCAUUCCCAUUUCUUGCAUGGGACCUAAGCAUGCACCCAAGGACACAGAUUUGAUUUUUCAACCAAUUUAUAUGCACUGGAGCAUGUGCAUGUAGUUCAAAUUUGAAUUAUGCACAUAAAUGCAUUGAAAAACUCAGUUAAUGCAUAAAAAUGUCCAAAAGAACCCCAAAAAAUUAGAAAAAUUGACACAACACUCUUGUUGUUCUAUGUUGACACAAGAAAAAAAUUGGAAGCAAUAAGAGGCAGUGGAUAUCGUUUCAUCCCCAAAGGUGGGACGUUCCCUACCGAAACCAUGAUGCUUGUUGUGAGAAGCUCUGGUUUGUGAGAAGCAUAUACCCAAACCUUCCCCAAACGGGACAAAAAUUUUACCACGGCAUGUUGAUGCUGCUCCAUGAAAGCAUUCCAAGUUUCAUGAAUUUCAGACGAGUUUUGGAUUUACUAGAAUUUAAAAACAAGGCAUCUCAAUGUCUUGCCGGCAAUCAACGAUGCCCUGGUGUUUAAAAUUCAUUCCCAUUUCUUGCAUGGGACCUAAGCAUACACCCAAGGACACAGAUUUGAUUUUUCAACCAAUUUAUAUGCACUGGAGCAUGUGCAUGUAGUUCAAAUUUGAAUUGUGCACAUAAAUGCAUUGAAAACUCAGUUAAUGCAUAAAAUGUCCAAACGAACCCCAAAAAUGCACAUAGCACUCCUAUUGUUCUAUGUUGACAUGAGAAAAUCUUUUAAAGCAAUAAGAGGCAAUGGAUAUCAUUUCAUCCCCAAAGGUGGGAUGUUCCCUACCGAAACCAUCAUGCUUGUUGUAAGAAGCUCUGGUUUGUGAGAAGCAUAUACCCGAACCUGCCCCAAAUGGGACAAAUUUUUUAACACGGCAUGUUGAUGCCGCUCCAUGAUAGCAUGCCAAGUUUCAUGAAUUUCAAACGAGUUUUGGAUUUACUAGAAUUUAAAAACUAGGCAUUUCAAUGUUUUGCCGGCAAUCAACAGUGCCCUGGUGUUUGAAUUUCAUUCCCAUCUCUUGCAUGGGACCUAGAAAUUCACCCAAGGACACACAUGUUAUUUUUCAACCAACUUUUGUGCAUUGGAGCAUGUGCUUGUAGUUCAAAUCUGAAUUAUGCACAUAAAAUGCCUAGAAGACCUAGUUAAUGUGUAAAAAAGGCCAAACGAACCCUGAAAAAUUCAUUCCCAUUUCUUCCAUGGGACCUAAGCAUGCACUGAAGGACACGGAUUUGAUUUUUCAACCAGUUUGUAUGCACCGGAGCAUGUGCAUGUAGUUUAAUUUUGAAUUGUGCACCUGAAAUGGCUAGAAAACCAGUUUAAUGUAUGAAAUGUCCAAAAGAACCCUAAAUAAUUCCAAUUCUUUUACGACACACAUACAGUUGCAUAUUCACUGCAGAUAAAAGGUCUAGCAAUUCAAACACCGUCCAUUGCCGUUGUGACCCCAUUUUGUAAUUCAAAUCAAGUAGAUCCCACACAGUUUAUUCUCACCAACCGUGUGAGAUGUACUACAAAAUAUCUUGGAGUGUUGUCAGUAUGUAGUACGCCUAUGGCUUACGCGAGAAGGUGUGUCGGCUACAGUCCACAGCCGGCGUGUCAAGCACACUAGCUUGCUCCCCCAAAACUCCCACCUCUGCAUCACUCGCAAUGUCGAAAAUAUCUACCGCCUGGAAGGUUUUAAUGUUUGAUAGCACAUGAUUAGUAUGUGCGGACCGUGUGCGAUGUCUGUUACUCCCUCUCUGCUUCAGUCCCUUGAUUCAAAUUUUCAGUAGCCCUGGCAUUUUACUCCCGCCUCUGCAUCCCUCGCAAUCUCAAAAAUAUCUGCUCGCCCUUGAUCCAAAUUUUAGGUAGCCCCGCCUUGUUACUCCCGCCUAGUAAAAUUUUCAGUUGCCACAGUAUUUCCUCAAACACAACCUCCGCUCACACAAACACACACAACCCUCGAAACCAUUGGUAGGUCGCCCCCAUCGCCGGCGCCUCCAUCCUCAACCUAUGCCUAUGUGUCGGGGAGCUUGAGUAGCCAAUGGCCAAAAAGAGGUUUAUCGCGACCUUUUCGCCUGACGCCGGCAAGGUGGCCGCCGAGGUGUCCCCGUCAUCCUCCGCGGGCCCGAUCCACCCGCCGCCGCGCCCCUGCGCCGGUUUGAGGACUUCCCUAUCCUCCCCCGGACCCGGCAGCUGACGAAGUCCUACUUCGAGGUUCGGCAGCGGCUGUGGGGGACAUGGGUCGCCAAGAUUACAGAUCGAGAUACCCACACCCGCCGGUGGCUCGAUAGCUUCCACACGGCUGAGCUCGUGGCCAUGGAGUACGAUCGCUGGCAAGUCCAUUACCACGGCGCGGUGACUAAGCUCAAUUUCCCCUUCUGCACACGUCCGUUCCACCUCGUUCCGCCAAAGCCAGGGUGGUGAGCUCGGCUAUGGCGUGGGAGGACCGCGAGGCGUGGGAGCAUCUCGAGGCCGAGGCCGCCGACGAGGCCUACCUGCAAGAGCUCCACCGGCAGCACCCAGAGCUCGUGGAGGCGGAGUGGGCGAUCUUUGCCGGCAGGGAGGGCGGCAAGGUUAUUACGCUCUCCUCCGAUGACGAGGUCGAAGGCAGCGAGGUCGGCUGCGCGGAGGGCGGCGAGGUUAUCACGCUCUCCUCUGAUUACGAGGUCGAAGGCGACUGCGGCCCAGAGGGCAUCGAGGUGGGCCCCGAGGACGAGGAGAUCGACGUCGACGAGUAGAGGAGUGCCUUCCCCAAUGACCCCCGACGACAGUACUGGCCCGGACCCGGCUCGCGGCACACCGUACAUGACGAGGAAAGAUUGGCUCGACCUCUACUUGGACCGAAAGUAGUUUAGCUUAGUUUAAAUUUAUGUUUUAUGUUUGGUUAUGCAAAACUAUCUAUGUUUAUGUUUGAAUGCAUGCUACUUUUGGUUGAACCUGCUUUGAACUUGAUCAAAUUUAAGUUUACAACCUUAAGUUUAGGGGAUCGACUAGAAAAGGCCGAAAAUUGCUGGCGUAUGUAUAUAUCCACCAAGGGUUUUAGUCCUUUAACUUUUUAAGGAUCACCUAGAGAUGUCCUUAUGACUUGUUUAUUUCAGUUCUUCACAAUGUGAUGCUCUAUUUGUGCAACUAUUUGUUGUGCAGUUCAAUUUCAUUAAUAACAGUUUCAACAAUACCACUAUGAAUUACGAUAUUUGGUUACUGUUAAGGAUAUUGCAGUUAACAUGCCUUUUCGUUUUUCAGUUGUUGUUUAGCAACAUGCAUUGUACUGAAUGACUAAAUAUGCAAUCCCAGGCUACAUAGCAACAAGGAAGAGUAUUACCUUAAUGUUCUGAUGAUGUCUAGAUAUACAUGUAAUAAAAUCUUAUAUAAUGGGAUGGAUGGAGUGUUGUACUACAUCAUUUUUCAAUUGUUGUUUAGCUUCUAAUAUUAUCUUGGUGCUUUUAGGUACAUAUAUCAUUGCCAAAGAUCCACACUUCGACCCUUUCUGCGUAUGGGGCAAUGAGAUAUUCAUGAACCAGCAUCAAGUGAGGAAACUGAUAAAGAUUGUUACUAAAAUGGGUCAAAAGAUGUCAAUCAAACUAUUUGUUUACACUUUAUGCAAGACAACAGUGAACUGCAAGAUGGUAAGUAAGAACCCUAUAGCCUUCUUUUUACUGCCCGUAAUGAGUUGUGUUAGAUGACAAUAUCUGAAUCUUUUUUCUUUUGCAGUGAUCCUGAAGCAGUUUACUCAAGAUUACCUCUCAAACUACAUGAUUGGCGGCCGGCCAUCACACGGGGUUGGACUAGAGUCCUGCAUGCCUUCUGCAUCUAGGAGAGCACAAUAGGGUCAUUCCGCUUCACCUUGUUCAUCAACUGGAAUGUCUGUCACCUCUUUCUUUACCAUCUAAUAGUACAAGUAUAGAACCCUGGUACAUCAUUCUGUAUUUGGUGCUUCUGUAAUUCUUAAACAUAUGUACCUGUGAAUUGAAUAAUGCAUUGGUUGUUUGAACCUGAUGGAUAUGAAUAAAGCUAUAGCCUACUUUCAAGUUUAAAUUAGGUACAAUUUUAAAUAGUAGCAAUUAAAUUAGGGCGAAAUUACGUUGUGCGGGUCAUUACGGCACACACACGGUUGGUAAAACACAAACGUUUGCGAUAUACACCAUAAUCUGAGAUGGUUCACGGAGAGGAAACGUGUGCAAGAAUGCACAUAGUUGCCGUUUGCAAAGCGUGUGUGGUGUCAGACACUAUCACAUACGGUGCGGGAAAACUAAAUGUGUGUGAUUGUCUACCUAUCAUACACGAUUUAUAAUCAUGAACUAUUUGUGAUGUGCCAGGCAUCGUAAAUCUCCCGUGCCUAGAAUCUGCCUAGAAAACUGUCGUGCCUGGAAUCUGCCUGGUUUUAGGCAGAACCACAAUACUCCGACUGUGAUGGCAAUGCAAGCACAAACGAGUGGCAAGGAUGAAGCGUUUGGGAUAUUCGAGAUAUCGGAAACGGUUAUACGGGGACAACUGUAUGCAUCAAGGCUCUCUAUCUCCGACGGUUUCUGGGUCAUGUGGGAAGGACCCCCUAUCGUCCACACUCACUUGGAGACGGUUCCAUAUGCCGUUCCCAAAAGGGGUUAAAAACCGUUUGUUUAGGACUGGCGCGCACCAGCGUUAUUGAAACUGAAACGGGGUAGGAAGCAGGGGAAAACGAUGAAAGAUACAGCAGUAGCGCUGGGAUAGCAAAGCGCUACAUCUAACUAAUAGUAGCGUGUUCCCGAAAAGCGUUGCUGAUAUAGUCAAUAGUAGUAGCGCGGGUACAGACCACGCUACUACUAACAGUUAGCUGUAGCGCCGUAGUAGUAGCGCGGCCACCCGCGCUGCUGAUAGCCUCAAAACCCGUGCUACUACUAGGGUUUUCCCUAGUGGUGAUAGAUUAGUUAGGACUAAUUUACCCUUCGUAGGCAAGUAAAUCAGUUAGUUUAGGAAAGUAAGAGAUACAUGAAACCAAGAGAGAGAGAGAGAGAGAGAUAAUUUCCUUCCUUUACUACAAGGAGAGAUACACACAAUUACGAAAAAAGAUAUUUUACUUUUUUCAGAGGGCUAAAAAGGGAAUUAUGAGGAAUUAUAAGAAAUGCACCUUACAUUGUGGAAUUUUAUCAAAAAAACAAAUGCACCUUAUAUAAAGGAACAGAGGGAGUACUUGAGUGUGCAUCAUGCCAUGUUUAUGUGAUGGUUGUUUACUGUGUUGUUUGCUUCUUUCCGGUUGUGGUUCUUCUCGAUAGUUCCCUAUAACGAUGCGAUUGUGAGGAUUCAUUCGACUAUGCUCAUUCGUCUUCUUCAUGGAUUCGGUCUUCUUUCUAGAGUGAUUUCAGGCAAGAUGACAAUUACCUUGGCUAUCACUACUAUCUUUGCUUGCUAGUUGUCUCGAUGCUAUCUCUAUGUCUUGCUACCUACCACUUGUUUGUUAAGCCUCACAAAUUGCCAUGAUACGGCCUCUAACCUCCACUAUCCCAGCAAAGCGUUGUUUGGCUAUGUUACCACUUUGCUCAGCCCCUCUUAUAGCAUUGCUAGUUGCAGGUGCAGUGCAGGUUGUUCCAUGUUGGGACAUGGAUAUCAUGGGAUAUUACAAUAUCUCUUAUUUAACUAGUGCAUCUAUAUACUCAGUAAAGGGUGGAAGGCUCGGCCUUUUGCUUGGUGUUUUGUUCCACUCUUGCCGCCCUAGUUUCCAUCAUACUAGUGUUAUGUUCCAUGAUGAGCGUUCCUAACAUGUGUGGGGUUUUAUGGGGACCCCCUGAUCAUUCGCUUAGGAUAAAACUCUUCCAGCAAGGCCCAACUUUGGUUUUAAAAUUUGCCAACAUAAUAAUUCUUUAUUAAUUAAAUUAAUGCAUAGGGAGUUAGAUCCGUCCGCGGAUUCUUAGUUCAACAUAAUAGAGGUGGUCCAGCGCUAAUGGUGUUGGUCCAAAAUGGGCAGACUUCGGGGCCAUCGUGAUGGCUCGUGUCCGCGUCAGUAUGUUCCCCGAAGAGGAAGGGAUGAUGCAGCACAGCUACGGUGGGUAUUUCCCUUAGUGAUGAUACCAAGGUUAUCGAACCAGUAGGAGAACCACGCAACACUAUGUAAAUGGUACCUGCACACAAAGAAGAAAUACUUGCAACCCGAUGCGUAAGAGGGGUUGUCAAUCCCUCCCAGGUAAAAGAUAGAUAAAUAUGUAGUAGAUUAGAUAAAUAGAUCUCACGGGAAAGUGAAAUAAAAUAAAUAACAAAAAUUUGCAGCAAGGUAUUUUUUGGUUUUUGGAUUAAUAGAUGUGAAAAUAAAAGAGGAAAAUAAUAUAUCGAAAAGCAAAUAUGAUAAAGAAUAGACUCGGGGGCGUAGAUUUCACUAGUGGCUUCUCUCGAGAAAAAUAGCAUACGGCGGGUAAACAAAUUACUGUUAGGUCAUUGAUAGAACUUCAAAUAAUUAUGAUGAUAUCUAGGCAAUGAUCAUUAUAUACGCAUCACGUCCAAGAUUAGUAGACCGACUCCUGCCUACAUCUACAACUAUUACUCCACACAUCGACCGCUAUCCAGCAUACAUCUAGUGUAUUAAGUUUAUGGAGAAACGGAGUAAUGCAAUAAGAACGAUGACAUGAUGUAGACAAGAACUAUUCAUGUUGGAAUAGACCCCAGCUUGUUAUCCUUAAUAGCAACGAUUCAUAUGUGUCAUCUCCCCUUCUAUCACUGGGAUUGAGCACCAUAGGACCGAACCCAUCAGAAAGCACCUCUUCCCAUGGUAAAAAAAAAUUGAUCUAGUUGGCCUAACUAAACCAAAGAUUCGAAGAAGAAAUACGAGGCUAUAAGUAAUCGUGCAUAUAAGAGAUCAAAACUCAAAUAACCUUCAUGGAUAAAAUAGAUCUGAUCAUAAACUCAAAGUUCAUCGGAUCCCAACAAACACACCGCAAAAGAGUUACAUCAAAUAGAUCUCCAAGAGACCAUUGUAUUGAGAAUGAAAAGAGAGAGGAAGCCAUCUAGCUACUGCCUAUGGACUUGUAGGUCUACAAUGAACUACUCACGCAUCAUCGGAGAGGCACCAGUGAGAAUGAUGAACCCCUCCGUGAUGGUGUCUAGAUUGGAUCUCAUGGUACUGGAACUUGCAAAGGUUGGAAUUGUGUUUCGUCGACUCCCCUACGUUUUUUGGAUUUUCGGGGUAUUUAUAGAGCAAAGAGGUGGUGCGGGAGGCCACCGAGGUGGGCACAACCCACCAGGGCACGCCUGGGCCCCCAGGCACGCCCAGGUGGGUUGUGCCUCCCUCGGGGCACCCCUCUAGUACUUCUUUGGCCCAAGUUGUUCUUCUGGUCCAGAAAAAAUUCCGAAAAGUUUUGCUGCAUUUGGACUCCAUUUGAUAUAGAUUUUCUGCGAAGUAAAAAACAAGCAAAAACAGCAAAUGGCACUGGGCACUAUGUCAAUAGGUUAGUCCCAAAUAAUGAUAUGAAGUUGCUAUAAAAUGAUUGUAAAACAUCCAAGAAUGAUAAUAUAAUAGCAUGGAACAAGCAAAAAUUAAAGAUACAUUGGAGCCGUAUCAGCAUCCCCAAGCUUAAUUCCUACUCGUCCUCGAGUAGAUAAAUGAUAAAAACAGAAUUUUUGAUGUGGAAUGUUGCCUAACAUAUUCAUCACAUAUUAUUUUCUUUUGUAGCAUGGACAUUUGGACUUUUAUAUGAUUGAAAGCAAUAGUCUAGUUUUGACAUGAAGAUUUCAGUACUCAAGCAUAUUAACAAGCAACCAUGUCUUUCAAUAUAUCAACACUAAAGCAAGUUAUCCCUAGCCCAUUACACUCAAUCAUUGAUCCAUUCAUGAAACACACUCGCAUAUUAGCUACACCCAAUGCUCAAGUACGAUCAUAGUGCCCCUUAGUUGGUCCUUUAUAAGAGAAGAUGGAGACUCAAAAUAAAAGGAAAAAUUGCAUAAAGUAAAUAGAAAGGCCCUUCGUAGAGGGAAGUAGUGAUUUGUAGAGGUGCCAGAGCUCAAAGCAAAAAAGAUAGAGAUAAAACAUUUUGGGUGGCAUGCUUUUCCUGUCAACGAAAACAAUCGAGUAGUUCCCAAUACUUUCCAUGCUAGAUAUAUCAUUUGCAGUUCCCAAACAAAAAAUGAAGUUUAUUCAUUUUUCCACCAUACUUUCACAUUCCAUGGCUAACCGUAUCCAUGGGUGCCAUCCAUACCAGCACUUUCCAAUGAAUUUAUUAUUUGACAACAUAAAGUAAAUUCUUUUUUUUCAUUUUGGGACUGGGCAUCCCUAAUACCUUUGUCAUACUCUCGUGCAAUGACAACUGAAUAAACACUCAUCUUGAGAAUAAUACAUCUAGCAUGGAAAAAUAUCAGCCACCCCCUACCGUUUCAUGAGCGGUACAAGCACACAAAAAGGAAAUUAUUUUGAAAAUUAGAGAUGGCACAUACAAAUUUGCAAUGGCAAGAAAAUACCGCAUAUAGGUAGGUAUGGUGGACACAUAUGGCAAAACUGGGUUUAAGGAUUUUAGAUGCACAAGUAGUAAUCCCACUUAGUACAAGGGAAGGCUAGCAAAAAGAUUGAGAAGCAUCCAACCAACAAACGAAAAAUCACAUAAGCGAGCAUUAAGCAUAACUAACACCGAAUAAUGCACCACGAGUAGGAUGUAAUUUCAUUGCAUAACUGUUGACUUUCAUGCUUGCAUAGGGAAUCACAAGCCUUAACACCAAUAUUCUUACUAAAGCAUAAUUACUCAUCAACAUGACUCACAUAUUAUAUUGUCAUAUCGCAAAACUAUUACAAGGAAUCAAGUUUAUUUUGUCCAAUGCUUAGUGCUUUUAUCUUAUGUGUAGUUUAUUCUUCUUAUUCUUGUACUCAUAAGUUAGCCACCAUACAAUGCUUAGUGCUUGCUACAACCUCACCACUUAUCCAUUCCAUACCCAUUAAGCUUUGCUAGUCUUGAAACCCAUGGUAAUGGGAUUGCCGAGUCCUCGUGGCUCACAGAAUACUACAACAACAGGUGCAGGUACAAGUAAUGUGAUGAUCUCACAUGAGAGCGAUGCUUGCUUGUUUUGGAGUUUUCUUCUACUUCUUCUUCUUCUUCUUUGAUCAAGGGAUGGGUUAUGGGUCAGGAGCCUGGGAUUAGCAUGGUGAGUGUUGUUCUUCUUUUUCAUUUGAUUUCAUCCGUAGUCGGAUCCUGCUCUUCUAUAUGAUGAUUGCUAUGUAUGUAUUGAGGUAUUCCUGUUGUAGCUUGUGGCGAGUGUAAGCCUUUAUCUGGUAUUCUCAUCUAUUUAGUAUAUCGUAUGUUGUAAUGAUAUCCACCUUGCUAUGCAUUUGAAAUGUGAUUUUGCCCCAAUCAUGAAUUACUCACGUGAUCGAGAUAGAAUUGCAUCUUGGGCGCUACAAGGGACGUGAUACUAAUUCACAUAAUAGAAAAUAUAAUUGUGGAUUGACAAGGGCGACCAACUUUCAGUGCGAAUGUUUGUGAUUCCUGGUUUUCUCAGAAUAUUCAAGAUGACAAGGCAACCUAAAUUUUAGUGUGCAGAGUAUUUGUUUGCAAUUAAACUAGAGAAUAUAUGUAUAUGUUUAGGUGGCUUUAGGGCUCCCUUGUAUUGUCUUGCCCUGGGCCUCGAAAUCCCAGGACUGGUACUGGGUGCAACUUUUAUCAAUAGCACAUGAUCCACUUUUUUGUACCAGUGUAGAUCUGGAAUCAAAAUGAACACCUCAGCAAAAUCAGAUUGGAGACGAAAGAAAUCAUCUAUAAUCACGCAUGCAUGCCUCGGCAAAACCUUGCAGGGAAAAAGAAAGUAGAUUUCUCAUCUUAUGUUGAGAGAGACACACCUUAGGAUUGACCACAUUCAAACGCAUUGUAAUUGUGUGAGCACUAAGGCGAGGGUGGGAAGAAGGAUUAGCGAUAACACAGAUGGGAUGCACGUGGACCUAUUUGGGUCUUGAGUCAUGGUUAUUGAGUUAAGGGCGUGUAAUAUUUAUUUUUCUGGUGUUGCAACGCACGGGCUCUUUGCUAGUUAGCAAUAAAGGAAGACACGUGACAAAGGACGAAUGGAUAUCCUAAACCCGAGAAAUUGAAAGAAUAGAAGGAGUUGUGUACAAACAAAAAGUCCUGGAAAAAUGUGCUAAAUGAAUCUUGUGAAUUCUGCAAACUGAUCGACCAUUCGUCUUCACAUGGGACAAAACAGAUCAUUCCUCAUGCCAUGUGAGAGAGCCAUUUGACCAGACUACACAAUGAGCGCAUCUCUGCAUGGAUGUGCACGUGGGGUAUGUUCGGCUAAUUUGUAUCAUCUAUCUAGAUCAGAAAUGUGGCAACUCUUGCAUGGACUAUAGAAGCAUCUACAACCAAAACCCUUCUCCUUCUAAAUGUUCACGCACGCAUUUUCAAUAGGGCUGAGAACAUAAGAGCAUCUACAGCGGGUCGGACUUGGCAAAUUCGGUCUCGAUACGCCUACGGGUGCGUCCGCGGAUAGCGCCUGACAAUCCCUCAUUUGAGUUGCUGCACAUCCAUGCACCUUAAAUGCAAAUUCUCAAAUCCAUGCACAUUGAUCAAAUCAUACAAAUCAUCUCAAUUCAACAGUUCGAAACAAAUACAACAAAUCAAAAUAAAUCAUUGUUCAACAAUCCGGACAUACAAAAAUGAUAUUAAUGUCCGAGCAUGAUGGAUCACUCGCUUGCUGCCAGAUCACCUGCCAGACCCCAUCCAUGUCGCCUGCCCUGCGGCUAUCCUCGCUUCCUGCUCCACCUACUCUGUUGCUGCCAUAGCCGCCCUCAUCGCCUCGUACUACCUAUGGUCGUUGAUCUCCUUCUUCAUCCCCACAAGCCACUUCUUUGCAUGCUCAUCCAAGAGGCUUUCAUCCGCUAAUAUUAUCUUCGCAUCCUCAACGUCCCGUGCAAUUUACAAUCUCUCCUUCUCAAGCUCAGUCUCUCCAACUCAAGCUCAGUCUCUCCAACUCAAGCUUAGUCUCUCCUUCUCAAGCUCAAGCUAUUGGCCUUAUCGAGCUCCCAUCUGAUCGCCGCCUCUUUUGUCUCCAACUCGAUAUUAUCCCUCCCAAUUUCCAGCUUCUUCUCCACCCUCUUCUGGUCCCAAUCCAUCCUCUUCUUUUGAGCAUCCAACAUGAGCUUUUACCUCUCCUCUUUCUUGUUCUCCCUAACCGGAAAAAAUGCAUGUCGAUAUGGAGGACUUUUUUGUAGCCACGGCGUCACGGAAGGCACUUGCCUUCCCCUACUUGUUUCCCAUUACUUGUCAGCUAUCCUUUGGUACAGUGGCUCUUCCAUUCUACACUACAACAUCUUCCUCUUCUUCGUCCAACCCAAUUUAUUGGUGACAGCUUGAGCCAUCUUCCUCUUCUUACUGGCCUUGAGAUCGGCCACAAGUUGUGUCCACUUUGAUUUGCCAUUCAAUAUCACCCAAUUGUGGCUAAAACUAAAUGGUUUCUUUUUCGUUUCUUAAUACAUAGUGGCCGCCACCACCAUCAAGCAAAAAAAUAUGUAUGAGCAUGAGAAUGCAACAAAAACAUGCAUAUGCAAUGAUGACAAGAUGAAGUAAUUUAGCUUACGUGAGUUGCCACUCCCAUCCCACUUUGAGGGCGGCCAAGCACUUGUCAAUAGUAGCGUACGUACUUGUUUACUCCUCCUUGAAUGACCCCCAUCAAUGUUGGAGAGAUGCCACAUUGAGGUUAGUGACGAUAGGAUGUGAAUCCACAUAUUGGUUUUGUUCAUGGUAUCCCUUUUGUCCGUGCCGCAUAUUGGGUCCAAUGUUGUGUCCAACCAAGAUUUGACAAACAAUAUAUCCUCAAAAGUUGAGAAUGUCGGACCUCUUACCUCAGAUUGGGAUUUUAUGUUGUCCCAACUUCAAAUGAAGGGCAACUUGGUUCCCCCUACUCGUAGUGCAUUUGGGUCGGAUCUUGAUUAUCAUUGAUCAUGUCCGACAUGAUAAACUCCUAAAUGAUCAUUGUUUCCAAGAAUGGAUCAUGCAAAACGCUGAACAUGGCAUAUGCAAAGUUGAUCAGAUAGGAGCAACAAGAACAUACCGAGUCUUGUUGUCUCAUUUCGUCGAAUAGAUCAUGGCAGCCUACGAGCCAUUGGUGUCCAUGCUUGUCCGCACCCGAGCGAGCUGCGGUGAGUGACAGACUCCCACCGACGGCAUGUGCAUAGGCGGAAAGCUCUCCAGAAUGCCCCAACUAGUCAUCAGAUCCUCCUCUGUCCCAACCUGAUCCGAUGGAGUGAUCCUUGUGGGCGGCUGGAUGGACGGGUAGUGGGGCCCGGGCGAGUCAGGGGGCAGCUGCUUAUCGAUGUCCGCAUCCACUCCCUGUAACAUUGUCGCUUCCCUCUCUUUCUGCCUCCAUCACUGGUCCCUCCGGGUGAUGUUCUUUGGCUUGCACGACGAAGCCGAGGACAGGAUGCCGAUGGACAAGGCGGAUGCAGCCUCGGUCACGGUGGCGGGGAUGGGCCGGACUACAUCUAGGGCGGCGGAUCGAGACCGGCGGCGAGGAUGGGGAGCAAGGGUGGCGGACAGCGAGGGCUCGGAAGCGGGAAAGUGUGGAGGGAGGCGGGACGAGGGGAAAUGUUUGGUGGAUUUGGUGCAAUUUGUGGUGGAGUAGGCCUAUCGAGUCCGACGUGGCGGAUGCGCCCGGGUGUGCCUAGGCAUCCCCAUAUCCGCCCUACCUUAGGGCUAGAUAUGAGGGGUGCCAACCAGCCCAGGCAUUUGAGGCCCACUUGAGGUGCCCGUUUGGAUUAGUUUUUUUAGCGGUCACUGAUCGGGUCAUACGUGCGAGUGUUUGAGGGGGGUUUGGGGUGCCCGGUUGUAGAUGCUCUAAAGUUUAGGUUGUCCGGCACCUCUCAUAUCGAGCUCAUAUGUGGGGUGGAUAUGGGGACGCCGAGAUGCGUCCAUCAUGUCGGAUCCGACACGUAGGUCUGACUCCAUGUCUUGCAAUUUGACCAAGUUAACCAAAUCGACUGCCACUCCGGUGUCUAUCCUCCCUUUCUCACCUCUGAGUCAGCGCCUCUUCCACCCUCACUCUACGUAUGCACUGUCCUUGACCAUUGUCCUAGAUGUGGAUGCCCACUACCUCAUCGGUCACCGCCAUGGCUCAGAGGAGUCUGUGGGUGUCCCUUUGUCAUGAGAAACCCGGAAACCAUUGCCAGAGGGAGCGACGCGUAGGCACCACGCCCAUGAAUCCAUGAGGAGGGAAGUCAUAGAGAGGGAAGCUACGAAAAAAGAGGUCAUCGACAUAGACUUGGUUGUGUCCGCUCCAUCUGCCCCGCCUGGUAGAAGGUACCGGCCCAUGGCCAUGCCCAAUGUCGUUCUGACCUUGCAAUGGUCGGGCAUCCAACAUUCGCAUUAUAUGAGUCACCGCAACUACAAUGGUCACGACCAACAUCAGGAAACACCAGCGCCGGGCAUGCCCACGUAUUGUUCGAUGAAACAGCCGACCUAGGCACACAGAUGCAGGUAUUUUUCUUGUCCUGUAUGCUUUAAUCCGAUCAAUUUUACGAUAUUUAUUUCAUUGUGAUGCAUAUUUUAGGACACAUACAUGAUGAAUGAAGGUCAAGGGCAUAUACAUUAUGAAUUGGGUGAUACCGAAUUACCUUUGUUUCAUGUUGGGCAAACAUCAGGCACUAAGAAAAAAGGCACCAAAGGCAAGAGGUCCGACAUUCACAAGCCUUGAAGAUGUGUUGUCAAGUGAAGCUUUGUUUUUGAUCCUACACAAGGUCCCCUCGACCAACCCAGAGGCAAGGUCAGUUAUGAAACUAGUAGUCCUAGCUAUCAUCCCCCUUUAUAUGGAGAGGCAAGGGGUAAGUCAAAGGCAUCUGACGCUAAGUUGACACCUCGGUAGCCAUUACCAUAUCCCAUCUAUAACCCCCUCAAAUGAGACGUUUUCACCAUUAAUUACUCCCACAAAGGAUGAUGGAGUACCGGCCUCUUGGGGGGCUUUGUGUGCGAGCACGCCCUCCACACCACCUGUUUCCAUGGGGCGUGCCGUGGGGGCCUCUCAAGGGCUCUCGGUGCCAUUCAAUCUCCCAGGACGUCACAGACCCGGGAGGCCCUCCUUGGUGGUCCAUGACGGGUGCACUACGGGCGCGCCUGGGGUGACCGAUCAUGGGGAGGCUCCAAUCGUGCUCGUGAGCAAGGCCUCACGCACCCGCACAUGCGCAAAGGGUAGUCCAGACCCAUGUGUUAGUGUGUGGACCCCGCUGGACUGGAUCGACCACGACAGGUGAGUCAUGCAUGUCGUCGCACCGCCGGCUCGCGCGUGGCCCUCUAGCCAAACCUUCCUAUCAGUGUCUUUGCCUCGCGUCAGGAGUCUGCGUGAUGCGCUCGCGAUCGUCUGAUAUCGAUGGACGCGUCGCACAAGGCAUAUUUUCCUUAGGGGUCCAUGACGUGUGGUCCGCGGGAGCGGCUAGGGCCACCUCUUUGUGUUGGUAUUGUGUCGAGCCAACGUGUGCCUUCCCAUGCAUUGUUCCGCCUGCGUGUCAGUUCAUGUGUGGGCUCAGUCAGUCAGGACGCAGAGGUGUCUGGUCUACCCGAACACGUAGGGGCUUGGCCUAGUUGCGUGUGGAGGGGUGUCCUAGACAGCCCUUGCUAGCGCGGGCUCUGGCUAGGGCCUGUAGGGCGCUGUCUGGUCGGAGAGGGUUGUUCGGAUGUUGGGCAUUGGGUGGUCGCUAUCUGCCUUCUCGCCCCCGUCGCCCUCGACCAACGCGUGCCGUUUCAUUCAUUUGUUCGGGGCGUAUGAUGUUUGGGUUACCAGCUAUAGGCAGCCAUCUUGCUUGGGGUUUUCCCAAUUGUUCGUGCUCGCGUAUGUUUUUUGGACCCCGCAUGGCUAUCCCACGCAACACACCACCCAUCACCCCACCGAUUUCUUCGUGCCUGCGCAUUCGGGCACAUUGUGGGGCCACUGUUUUUUUGGUUGGGUAAACCAUGCUCGGCUAUUUUACUUUAUCUCUUUCGAUCCAAACGUCUGGUCCUAUCCGACCAAAGUUCGGAUGGAGUUGUGUUCAUUUUAUCUGGUUGGUUUUGUACGGCCAACGUCCGCGUGGAGAUGUGUUCGUUCCAUUCGGUUGGUCGUAUCCGUCCGGUGCUCACGUGGUUUGUGUUUGUUAUAUGCUCCUUUGGUCGGUGGACAGUUUGCAUGCUUAUGCAAAUGAUGUCCGGUAGUGGCCCCUCCCAGUUGCCCCUAUGCUAGUGGCUUUGGUUAGUGUUUAGGUCAGUUGAGCCCAUUGGUUGGUGUCCUUGUGACUGUCACUCUACUAAAUAAAAGCAUGUGGUUGCCUUUGCUUUUCUCCUCCUUUCUUCUUCCCAACGUCGUCGUUGCCUUACUUUUUGCUCCGCGGAUCUCUGUCUUCCCUUUGUUGGAGAUGCUCUUCGAGCUCGUCCCUUCCAUCUGGUUGUUUCUUCAUGCUUUUCUUGCCUGCCGGUGUGGCCUUCGUCUUUCAUGUCGAUUGAGGUUGUUCUUCUUUCCUUUAUCUCGGUCUUCUUUUCUUAUUUAAUUGCGCUCUCUCUUCAUUCAUUCUUUUAGGUCUUUCAAGCUCUUAUUGUCAUUGAUGGGCGGCUAUAUUGUUGCUUGAGGUGGGCUCAUGUUUUUUUGUCAGUAGAGAUCAUGAUGGCAUUCUUUAUCCUCUAUCUUGGUUCGUGCUUUUCAUAUCGCCUAAUUUCAUUUUUGGUCCGUGCGGUAGAUACGACAGUAGUGAGUUGUUGGAAACUAUUGGUUUCGCAGCAUGUGGCUAGCACAGUAUGUUUUAUUUUUUGCAUCGAGACUUCUUCUUUGAUGGACAAUGACUUGUUUUUCGUUUGUUCCCUGCGGUGACAUUUUAUUGCUAACGUAUUUCUGUGCGGUUUGGAGUUCCUGGUUUUGUCUGCAAUUCCUGUGUCCUUAUCAUGAAUCAUUGUAGACUGCUGCUUCAUGAACCGAAGCUGACGACGAUGAUAUAUAUAUAUAUAUAUAUAUAUAUAUAUAUAUAUAUAUAUAUAUAUAUAUAUAUAUAUAUAUAUAUAUAUAUAUAUAUAUAUACAGCCCGUAUAUUCUGAUAAUAUCAUCAGAAUAUUUAUUCUGAUAACACUUCCGUACUGCAUGCUCAAUGCGAGAGCACUGCACUUUCUUUAACAAGAGCACUGCAUUACACACACUAGUGAACUUCGUGUCGGAAAAAACUGCGCGUAGUAUUUUUUUUCGGUACUGUUUUUGCUCUAAUUUUUUAAUCGUUUAUUGGAACGAGGCGUCUAAUAUACCGUUGGAAAGCUACGGAUUAGGCGCAACUUCGUCAUGUUGAACACUUUUCGAGAUUCCUCACAGUUUAAGAGCAGUUUUGAAAAUGGUGCGGCCCACAACGAGUGGCAGCGAGCGUUUUUUCGCAUUUUUUUUCUAAACCGUUCGUCGGAAUGAAGUAAAUGAUACACCGUUGGAUAGAUAUCGUCGAGGCGCAUCUUUUUCAUAUCUAUGUCUUUCUCUAAUUCGUUACGGUUUAAGAGCAGUUUCAAAUUUACUAAAUCGCGGAAUUCUGUUUUUCAAAAAAAUUCAAAUUUUCAGUACUGUUUUCGCUCUAGUUUUUUAACCGUUUGUCGAAACGAGGCGUGUAAUAUGUCGUCGGAAAGCUAUGGACAAGGCACAACUUUCAUAUGUAGAAAUGGUUUUGAGAUUCUUUAUGGUUUUUAGUUAAUUUCGAAAAUCGUGCGGCUGAUGACGAGAGGCAGCGGCCGUUUUUCGCGAAAUUUUUACAAACCGCUAGUCGGAAUGAUUCAAACAAUACGCCAUUGGAAAGAUAUCGACGAGCCGCAACUUUUUCAUGUAGAACACUCUCUCUAAUUCUUUACGGUUUAAGAGGGAUUUCGAUUUUACCGAAAUGCGGACACUCUGUUUUUCGCGACACCUAAAUCGACGUGGGUACUUCAUCCGACUGAAAACCGCACUGCUUUGGACGAAAAAGCCGCACUGCAUCAGACGGGUAAGAGAACUGCAUGGUUUCUUUUAUUCAAACGUAAUUUUUUUAAGGACGAGAAAGUAGAGUGCACUUCACAUCGGGUGUAAAUGAACCACAACACUAUCAAGAAGUGAACCGCAUUACUUAUUUGUGGUACGUAAAUUUUUCUAAACGAGGUGGAGUGCACUUCAUGUCGAGUGUUGAUGAACCACAAGACUAUGAAAAGUGAACCUCCACACUACCGUAAACGGGCCGUACUGCAUCAGACAAAAAACCGCACUUCAUUGGACAGACAAGUGCACUGCAUGAUUUUCUUUUUUGUGGGACGUAAAUUGUCCCAAACGAGGUGGAGUGCACUCCUUCAUACUAAAAACCGCACUUCAUCAAAACGGACAAGUGUACUGCAUAAUUUCCUUUGUCGGACGUAAAUUUUUCCCAAGCGAGAAUGUGGAGUGCGAUUCAUGUCGGGCCUAAGUGAACCGCAACACUAUCAAGAAGUGAACCGCAUUAUUUAUUUUUUUGUCCCCGUAACAAUUUUUUGUACUACACCACUUUUUGUUUCAAAAAAUAGUUAGAUUUUAGUAGUUUUUCUUUAAAAUGAAUUGCAUUUUUAGAGGGGAUGUGAACUUCUCAAGAGUUUUUAUUAUCCUGUUUUUCUUCACCAAGUAAACCACAUGAGGGUUUACAUCAAACUGCAUCUAUCUUUUAACAUUAUUGACAAAUAGGUCGCUGGAUUUUAGUCAACAGGUCUCAAAACUAAAAUACAAAUACAAUCGGUUCCUUUUUCUUUUGCACAACUGCUCAGUAAACGAUGGUCGUGUGCUACCACUGUUUUGGACUAAAGUGCUGCACCAUUUGUCGUUGUUGAGAAGAAACAAAAUAAUUUUGCUAGUACUACACCACUUUUUGCUAGUGCACUGCAUGACUAAGUAGAAAACUAACGACGAUUUUGCGAGUACUGCACCACUUUUACGAGUGCACUGCAUGACUAAGUAUAAAACUAACGACCAGACAGCCUCAUGCAAUUUUUCUGAAAAUGAAAAAACAAUCAACUUCACAACAGCCACCGGCAACACACGCGUCGCGAACCGUAUACACACACGCGUUGUACUGCAUGGAUGUGCCAGCGGACUUCAUGGAGGGAGGCUCGCUGUCCAAACUGUAUGAUCAGGGAAACAGAAAAAAUGCAAUGCUGCAUCAAACCGCACUCUACCACUUUCUUCCUACAAGAACAAGUAAAUUGAACCUGAUGAGCAAACAAUAGUGGGCUACAUUUACACUUGAUAAGAAAAACACCAAAACAACGAUCUGCUCCAGGACCAUAGUGCACCCAGUUUCUCCCAGGAGCGAGCCUUCCUCCAUGCAGUUUCUCCCAGUAGUCUGCACGCCAAGAUGUGGUUUCUCGUCAGAGGACAUGAGGGGGAGAUGCAGAAGCAAUGAGAAGAUGCAAGUCACAAACGAACCGCGUGCCGAGCUCAUCCCUGGUGCAUGAAUGGCCGAUGGAUCCGGCGCCUGGCGUGGCAGCACGCGAGGCAUCCGGUGGAGGAGAUUGGCCGGGAGGAGGGAAGGGCGAUUUUCGGCGAGGUCGGUGGCUUCUUGACCCCCGAAACCUCCCUGGAUCCUACACCCCAUCACGUCGCGGUGGUUGAAG